rnacentral:lncRNA from 1 species
CACCAAGGAACUCCUUUUCUAAAAAGAUUGCCUUAAGGCUGACAAACACCUUUUGCUCAUCAGCUAGGUAGAAAUAAUAUCCUUUGGUCUCUUUUGGAUACCCUAUGAAAUUACACUUGUCAGACCUAGGUCCAAGCUUAUCCGUAAUUAAACGUUUAACAUAAGUCGGACACCCCCAAACCCUAAGAUGCGAGAGUACUGGCUUACGUC